CGUAGGGCGCAAGCGUUGUCCGGAAUUAUUGGGCGUAAAGAGCUCGUAGGUGGUUUGUCGCGUCUGUCGUGAAAGCCCAUGGCUUAACUGUGGGUCUGCGGUGGAUACGGGCAGGCUAGAGGCAGGUAGGGGAGAACGGAAUUCCCGGUGUAGCGGUGAAAUGCGCAGAUAUCGGGAGGAACACCGGUGGCGAAGGCGGUUCUCUGGGCCUGUACUGACGCUGAGGAGCGAAAGCGUGGGGAGCGAACAGGAUUAGAUACCCUGGUAGUCCACGCCGUAAACGUUGGGCGCUAGGUGUGGGGUUCUUCCACGGAUUCCGCGCCGUAGCUAACGCAUUAAGCGCCCCGCCUGGGGAGUACGGCCGCAAGGCUA
rnacentral:rRNA from 1 species